GUGAGGAAUAUUGCGCAAUGGAGGCAACUCUGACGCAGCCAUGCCGCGUGCAGGAAGAAGGCGCUACGCGUUGUAAACUGCUUUUAACCGGGAAGAAACCCCAGGACGUGUCCUGGGUUGACGGUACCGGAGGAAUAAGCACCGGCUAACUUCGUGCCAGCAGCCGCGGUAAUACGAAGGGUGCAAGCGUUAUCCGGAUUCAUUGGGUUUAAAGGGUGCGUAGGCGGAGCGUUAAGUCAGUGGUGAAAUCCUGCAGCUUAACUGUAGACUUGCCAUUGAUACUGGCGCUCUUGAGUGCGCUUGAAGUGGGCGGAAUGUGCCGUGUAGCGGUGAAAUGCUUAGAUAUGCUACGGAACACCGAUUGCGAAGGCAGCUUACUAUUUCAUGAUUGACGCUGAGGCACGAAAGCGUGGGUAGCGAACAGGAUUAGAAACCCUUGUAGUCC
rnacentral:rRNA from 1 species